CUUGCCAUUACAACGGACAUAUCUGAACCGUGUCAGGACCGGAAGGUAGCAGCACUAAGGAUCCCUGUUCGUGUGUAGUGGCCUUUUUG
rnacentral:SRP_RNA from 1 species